rnacentral:rRNA from 1 species
AUUGAACGCUGGCGGAAUGCUUUACACAUGCAAGUCGGGCGGCAGCGCGGGGGCAACCCUGGCGGCGAGCGGCGAACGGGUGAGUAACACAUCGGAACGUACCCUGUCGUGGGGGAUAACGAAUCGAAAGAUUCGCUAAUACCGCAUACGACCUGAGGGUGAAAGCGGGGGAUCGCAAGACCUCGCGCGAGAGGAGCGGCCGAUGGCGGAUUAGCUAGUUGGUGGGGUAAAGGCCCACCAAGGCGACGAUCCGUAGCGGGUCUGAGAGGACGGCCCGCCACACUGGGACUGAGACACGGCCCAGACUCCUACGGGAGGCAGCAGUGGGGAAUUUUGGACAAUGGGGGCAACCCUGAUCCAGCCAUUCCGCGUGAGUGAAGAAGGCCUCGGUUGUUAAAGGACUCUUUCGGUCAGGAACGAAACGGACGGGCGCUAACAUAGCCUGUCAAUGACGGUAACCUCGAAGAAGAAGACACCGGC